AGGCCUCAAGUGAUGUGUGACAACCCCCAGAAUUUAAGCAUAUUAAUAAGGGGAGGAAGAGAAACCAACCGGGAUUCCCUGAGUAGCUGCGAGCGAAACGGGAAAAGCUCAGCACGUAGGGACGACGGGUCCGCCCCGCCUGUCCGAUUCCGUGUAUUGGAACGAUUCCAUUAUCUACCGCGUACGGUGCAAACAGUUCAAGUUCAACUUGAAGGUGGCCCAUUAUCCCACAGAGGGUGAUAGGCCCGUAGAACGGCACACUAAGGUGGCGGUAGACGGUCGGUUCCAAUGAGUCGUGUUGCUUGAUAGUGCAGCACUAAGUGGGAGGUAAACUCCUUCUAAAGCUAAAUACCGCCAUGAG
rnacentral:ncRNA from 1 species